AUUGAACGCUGGCGGCAGGCCUAACACAUGCAAGUCGAGCGGAAGAAGACUUCGGUCUUCGAGAGCGGCGGACGGGUGAGUAACGCGUGGGAAUCUGGCUCUUAGAGGGGGACAACUUGUGGAAACGCAAGCUAAUACCGCAUGCGUCCUACGGGAGAAAACAGGGGAUCUGCGGACCUUGCGCUGAGAGAUGAGCGCGCGUGGGAUUGGCUAGGUGGUGGGGUAAAGGCCUACCAAGGCGACGAUCCGUAACUGGUCUGAGAGGAUGAUCAGUCACACUGGAACUGAGACACGGUCCAGACUCCUACGGGAGGCAGCAGUGGGGAAUAUUGGACAAUGGGGGCAACCCUGAUCCAGCCAUGCCGCGUGUGUGAAGAAGGCCUUCGGGUUGUAAAGCACUUUAAGUUGGGAGGAAAGGGUGCUGGCUAAUAUCCAGUAUCUAUGACGUUACCAACAGAAUAAGCACCGGCUAACUCCGUGCCAGCCGCCGCAGUAACAC
rnacentral:rRNA from 1 species